GAAAUAUGUUUUGAACUCUUAAUCACCUUUUGAUACCCUAUCAAGCAAAUAAAAGUAAACAACAUAUGGAUCCCACCACCACAACUUUCUCUUAUCAUUCUUCAAUUGAAAUCGUAAGUUUUUCUUUGUCUUCCUCCUUUAAACUACUCACCUUCUCCCACCAAAGCCAUACUUGACAGCCAUUUCCAACAACCAUGCCUCACCUUUCCAACAAUCACUCCGUCCCUCUCUGAUGCCAUGUCGCCGGCCAUUCCUGCAGUAAAGUGUUAGGGAUUUUGACUUUUGUAAGCAGUCCUCUUUCUCUCUUGCUUCUGGCUAGGAUUUUUGGAAGGGAUUAGAGCUUUGAUGGAGGGUGGAGAGGAAGCUUGUGGAGGAGCUGGGCAACUGAACCUUAGGCAACCCUUUUCUCUUUGUUUUGGAGUGUAUAUGCAACCAUGUUGUUUCUUAGAGGCUUGAUGAUUGAUCAGGAAUAGGUGUGAGUGGUGGCAGCUUAGUGUCUUGGGGCAAACUGUCUUCUAGUGCUAGCAAGUUGAUAAAUUUCGCUUUCUUGGGGUUUUAGAUUUUCAUAUCUUUGAAUAAUUGUUGUGUCAGAUCUUGUUAGUUGAUUUCGUUGUAUUUUGAACCUUGUAACUUCUUUUGGUUUCUGAAUCCAGUUGUCUAUUAGACAUUA